AGCCUCAAUGCAGUCGAGCGGCGCGGGUCUUCGGGAAGCCGGCGAGCGGCGGACGGGUGAGUAAUGCCUAGGAAUCUGCCUGGUAGUGGGGGAUAACUCGGGGAAACUCGAGCUAAUACCGCAUACGUCCUACGGGAGAAAGUGGGGGAUCUUCGGACCUCACGCUAUCAGAUGAGCCUAGGUCGGAUUAGCUAGUUGGUGAGGUAAAGGCUCACCAAGGCGACGAUCCGUAACUGGUCUGAGAGGAUGAUCAGUCACACUGGAACUGAGACACGGUCCAGACUCCUACGGGAGGCAGCAGUGGGGAAUAUUGGACAUGGGCGAGGCCUGAUCCAUCCAUGCCGCGUGUGUGAAUAUAGUCUUCAGAUUGUAAAACCUUUAGUUUGCAGGAAUGGCAUUACCUUAAAAUCAUUAAGAGUAGGAAGCUCCCAGCAUAGUUUCCAAUGGUCUACCUACUCCAGCCCCCUCUUAGGACAUCACCACAGAGCAGACGAUUUUUUAUCUUCUACCCUUUUUUUUAAACUAAUUAUUACAUUUUUUAAUCCAUCACUCAUUAUAGUUUAACACGAUCAACACCUUUCUUUGUAUUCCUUCUAAUUUUCUAGCUAGUUACCUUUGUGCGCAUCGCUUAUACGAUAUCAUACAUCUACAGUAGAUUGAUAUGUCUCAUACGUAUCACAUAAAUUGUCUCGCAAUGCGCCUGCACAUGUCACGCUCUUUCAUCCUUCUAUACGUCUGUGCUCUACUCACCCACACCCUACACGCUGUACAGCUACACUACUCGCAUUCUGCUCCGAGUCACUCUGAUAUAUUACGAAAUAUCAGCACACUCUUCACUGUUUCUAAUACAAUAUAGAUAUACGAGCGCUAAUAUAGUAUUCUGCUACAUGACAUCUACUUUUAUGUGUGCAUGAACUAACACUCGUAUGACGUAGAGCUGCGGGACGACAGAGAACUGUGAGUACUGAGAGCGUACUGACUUUUUUCUCGCAGCUUCGUAUUCUUGUACAAUGUCUAGCAUAGAGUGAUAGUACGUCUAAUACAACCUAUAUACUGACUCUGACAUCGAUCAUCAAUCAUCUUUGAUCCACAACCUAUA
rnacentral:rRNA from 1 species